GUUCCCUUCAUAUGGGGACUGCUUUCCUCUCCCUGUGCUGUAUCACCACGGGACCAGCAAGUGCUAUGGUUUGUUGGUGAGAACAAAGUCGAGAUGUCUUCAACUGGAAGAUAUGUCCAUAACUGACGAUUAUAAAACAAGAUCCUUAACAAUCAAAGAUUGUACUGAAGUAGACAGAGCUAUUGUUACCUGUCAAGUGGGUGAUGUGGAAACCACAGCUAAACUCUGGGUUUGAUUGCCACCAGCUUUCUAUGCCACACCUCUACAAGAUAUAGUUUGCACAGAGUUUGACAACAUUAUUUUGGAAUGUGAAGUUUCUAGCCUAAUGUAGAGGUUGAAUGGCUCGUAAUGGUAAAUUGUUUGAAGAGACCGACAAGAUCAUCAUUGUUGCUGAUGGUGUUAUCGUCGUCUCUACUAAGAUGACGUUCAACCUGAUUCAAGCAACAAAUACACAAAUAA